rnacentral:lncRNA from 1 species
UGUGGACAUUCUUUGGGACCUUGGCUUUUAGUUGGACUUGAGUGACGGGGUGUUAGUUUUAAACUUUUACGAUUCUUGAUGGGGAUUCUGUGGGAGUAGUAGUUUUUGUCUUGUCUCAAUAAAAGAGCAUGCUUGCACACACUGGCACUCCACACUUGUAAAUAGAAGAGUAAUUGACUUGGUAGCGAGAGAGAUGAAAUUCGAGAACAUUAGCACAAUCUGAGGUAUUAUAAUUGGCAAGGCAAUUACUUCAUAGUUCACUCAUUCAUCACGUAGUUGCAUUCAUGCAUUGCAUUGUAUUAUUGUUAGUGUCGUUGACGCUUGAGGACAAGCAUCAGUUUAAGUUUGGGGGGUGUGAUAAGUGGUAUUUAUACACACUUAUAGGCCUUCAUUUCCACUUAAAUUGGUUGGUUGUACUUAAGUGUUUAGUGUCUUUUGAUGUGUUUUUAUUGUUUUUCUGUGCAGGUCACGAGUUGAGGUGAUGAAGUGAUUUUCUAUCAUUUUAGG